CACAAGAGAAUGAAAAAAGAAAACAAAACUAUAUUUGGAGAGCCCUGGCCAGCUUUCAAGUCUCCCAAAUCUGAGUCUUCAGUCAACUGGACAGAAAAAAAAACAUGAAGAACCUACUAGCAGUGAUUCUGUGGCUUCAAGUAGACUGGUUACUUGGAGAGGUGGAAGUGCAGCAAAGCCCUCUAUCUCUGAACACCCAGGAGGGAGAAGACUGCACCAUCUACUGCAAUUAUUCAAGCUCUGCUUCAGAUAGACUGUACUGGUAUAGACAGGAUCCGGGAAAGAGCCUGGAAUUUCUGUUUGUAUUGCUGUCAAAUGGAGCAGUGAAGCAGAAGGGACCAUUAACAGCCUCCCUUGACACCAACGCCCGCCUCAGCACCCUGCACAUCGGGGGUCCCCAGCAUGGCCUCUCUGCUACCUACUUCUGUGCCAUGGACACACAAUGCUCCCCUGACACAGUCAGUCAGUACCCAAACCUGCAGCUGGGGCUCCAGGCCCACCCCUGCUGCCGGGACUACAGCGGUGAGGCUUAGUUCACUGUCUCUGCAUCCCUUUCUGCAAGGAAAAUUCUGAAAUGAAUAAAAAAGAUGGUGUUUUGA